rnacentral:rRNA from 1 species
CCUACGGGAGGCAGCAGUAGGGAAUAUUGCUCAAUGGGCGCAAGCCUGACGCAGCAACGCCGCGUGGAGGAUGAAGGUUUUCGGAUUGUAAACUUCUUUUGUCAGAGACGAAAAUGAUGGUAUUUCCUGAAUAAUCAGCCGCGAACUACGUGCCAGCAGCAGCGGUAAUACGGAGGGUGCAACCGGUAUUCGGAAUCACUGGGUGGAAAGAGCGCGUAGGCGGGGAGGCAAGUCAGAUGUGAAAACCUAGGGCUUAACCAUAGAACUGCAUUUGAAACUGGUAUUCUUGAGGAUGGGAGAGGCAGAUGGAAGUCUUGGUGUAGGGGUGAAAUGCGUAGAGAUCAAGAGGAAUACUAGUUGCGAAGGCGACCUGCUAGAACAUAACUGACGCUGAUGCGCGAAAGCGUGGGGAGCAAACAGGAUUAGAUACCCGAGUAGUC